AACUUCUGGCUUGGCGCGCGCGGCCCGGGCCGUAAAGGUCUGUGUGCCGUUGUGCGCCUGCCAUCUUGCUGGAGCACGGCUGUGCCCUUCACUGGGUUGCAGUCGCGAUUCAGCUCUUUUACUUUGAAAAAAUUAGAGUGUUUAAAGCAGGCUUGCGCUAUGAAUACAUUAGCAUGGAAUAAUAAUUUAGGACUUCUGUUCUAUUUUGUUGGUUUCUAGGAUGGAAGUAAUGAUUGAUAGGGAUAGUUGGGGGUGCUAGUAUUCAGCGGCCAGAGGUGAAAUUCUUGGAUUCGCUGAAGACUAACUUAUGCGAAAGCAUU
rnacentral:rRNA from 2 species